CAUAAAUGAAUCAUAUGAUCACAAGAAAUUCACUUUUUUUCUAAAUAACAAGCGAGUUAUAAAACUGUUUUAAAAUAUUUUCUUGUUCAAUGUAAGCAGCUAUGUUGUUAUAAAAAACAUAAAAAAAAAUGUUUUGGAUGACAAUAAGUGUUUAAUAAAUCAAAUACAAUUUCAAACCGGUCUGUGGAACAUUUAAGAAAAACUAUGGCGUCUAAUUUUGAAUCAUCGUUUCAAAUGCGUCCGACAUAACUCAUGACUUUAUCUGCUCUCCAUGUAAGGAUGAUAGACUGAAUAACGAGGCAAAAUUUGUCUGUGAAAAGUGCAGGAAAUAUUACUGUAGCAACUGUGUACUUCAUCACAACAAACUGUUCAGGACACACUCAGUACUUGGAAGACAAGAUGUGAGCAAGUGGGUGGGGUAUGCAGGACUGGUCACCAUAGAGAUGUUGACAAACAUGGUGGAAAGAAGCUUGAACUGCUCUGUGAGGACCACGAUGAGUUAGCAUGCAAUAUUUGCGUCUCUGUGUCACAUAGGACGUGUCGGAGUAUCAAACACAUUCCUAAGCUGGCACAUUGGCUGAAAAAACAGACUUAUUAUAAGAGGAUGCCUGAUGAUCUCAAAACGAUGAAUACAAGACUUCAAGAAUUCAUUGACAAACAAAAACAAAACAAACAUACAAUAAAGAAGAACGGGACGAAAAUACUGGCUGAAAUUAGGUCACUUAGGAAGAAAGUGAUCGACAAAUUUGAUGAAUUGGAGGAAAAUACAAAUGACAUAUUACAUAAACAACUUGAAGAGGAAAGUUAUUACCUACAGGAAGAUAUUAACAAAUGCACACAGUACAAGAAGAAAAUGGAGUAUUACCAAGCAGCCAUCCAAUCUCAGCAAGAAACCACUUCCUACAUAGCCUUCAAGAAAUGCAAAGAUAAUAUGAGGGAAGCAGAGAGUCUGCUACAGGACCUGUCAGACAAACCUUAUACAACCCUCACGUUCGAGGCUGAUACCAACAUUUAUGAGCUCUUCUUUGAACUACAAACAUAGGGAGAAAUCAUGAGUACCUCCUCCAGUGAGACUACAUCCCCAUCUCAAGUUUAUAGUUGGAAAUAGUAUGCCAGUAUACAAGAACUAACAAGAAUAAUUUUGAUGCAAAGCGUCAAAGAGGCAGUAAAUGUUUUUGAACCAUGAAUAAAAGGCAGCAGAUGCAGUUUACCUGCAUACCAUGUUUGAGAUACCUAGAUACAAGCAUUCUUCAGUAUUUGAACAACUUCGGACUUUUAGCUCAAGGUGACCAAGACCUUGACUCUUGACCAUCUGACAUCAAAAUAUUCAGGGUGCUGGUCAUGUUUUGGACCUCUACUAAGUUUGAUGUCUCUAGUCUUAAAAGUUUUCAAUUAUUGAUAGGAACUGCGUAUUUUCAGCUUACGGUCACAAUGACCUUGACCUUUCACCCACUGAACUCUAAAGCAAAUAGGGUUCAUCUGCUGGUUAUGACCAACCUGCCUAUGAAGUUUGGCCAUAGUGUUCUUUAUACAUUGAUCAGACAACAAUUUUCAGCUGAAAGUAAUCUCAUGGUCACCCCAACAUUGACCUUUGACCAACUGACCUCAAAAUCAAACGGCUUUAUCUGCUGGUCAUGAUCAACCUGCCUACACAGCUUAAGAACCCUGGCCCAAAUAUCACGAAAAUACUUAACUCAAAUCUCAAUCUCAAGCUCAACUCUGAUGAUUUUUUCAUAUAAAAAUAUGACAUAAUUAAAAAUUAAUAAUGUUUAACUAUUUUUAAAAGCAAAGAAAAAUAGUUUAUUAUUCUCACAUGCAUUGUGUUGAUUGACAUUAUUGUUCAUUAUUAAAUAAACACUUUUCCAAAAUGUGCGAUUUAAAAAAGGGUAAAACAUUAACCAUUUUGAAUCAUAUGAUGCUGUCAUUUGAUGAAAAGAGUUGAGACUGAGAAUGAGAUUUGACUUGAGUAUUUUCAGGAUAUUGGGGCCGUGGACCUUAGCAUUCUUCAGAUACUGAUCGAAAACCGUACUGACGGACGGAUGGACGGCCAGACAAUCAGAUAACUAUAUGCCAUUUUGGGGCAUAAAAAUCCCAGGUGCUGUAAUACUAAUAAGUUCAAUGAGACGUAAGCUUUGGGCGAAUAAGGGAAAUUAUAUACUCUUCCAGUUGAUAAGGGGUAUGAUAAUAAAAAACUGAGCUGGUAUCCAUAAAACAUCUUAUGUCAUUUCUUAACUUAAAUCGAUUUCCUAAAGUUUCAUGGUCAAAUUAAGAAAAUCUAAAAGUUCUUUUAACGUAAUAUUAAGGAAAAUAAAGUAUUUCAUAUUAUUAAGUAAUUAUAUCAUAUGACCAGUGAAAUACUUUAAUAACCUAAGAAAAUGACUUAAGUUAGGAAAUGACUCCAUAUGUUUUAUGAAUACCAGCCCAGAAGCAUGAGAAAAGAAAUUGAAAGUAAUUAUAACAAGUGAAAUGGUAUUUAUGAUAAAAUUAUGAGAAAUUAUGAUAUUUUAAGUAAAGUUUACAUCAUUGUAUACUCGACAAUUAGCAAGAAUAGAAUGCUCUGAAUAAAGAAACUGUGCUGUAUUUAGAGGAAUGUUAGAAGUACAACAAGGCCCGUAAUUACAGAACCAUCUUAAGUAAAUUUUAAAUAUUUUCAAUUAAUUAGAAAAAAAUGAUGUAUAAAAAAUGAUAUAUUUCCAAAAUCAUAUUAGAGCUUCAAGAUGUUUUAACUGCUUUAGCAUAGAAGUAAUAGUAAUAUUCACCUAUUUAUCUACAUUUAACCACAAAUAUCCUAAAUGUUUAAAGUUCGAGUAUCUUUUAGUAAUGAAAAUUUUUCAUAUCGUGUAACUUUCUUAAUGCCAUGGAUACCAUAUAAUGCUUUAAAUACUAAUAAUUUUCAUAUUUCAACUAAGAAGUAAUUCGUUUGAAUAGUUUUAUAAAAAACAAUCAUACUUAUACUGUUAUUUUCAUAACAUAUUUCAACUGAAAGCAUAAUUAUAUAUUUGAAUAAUUGAAGAAAAGGGAGGUAAUAAGACAAUGAUACGGCCAUAAUUAUUGCAUAGUUGGGUUACAUACUGUUCCUACAUUAAAUCAUUCACACUGUUAUAUGUAAUUAAUUGUUAUUGAUUUUUCAAGUUUAUCCUAUAAUAUGCAAAACAUCCUCCAAAACUAUUUAUCUGAGCUUUGAUGAAUCGUGUCCUUCAGGUCGUAAACCAAGCGAUAAAAAAACGCGUAGCCUACGAGUUUGGGGACAAGUAAUUAAAUACCCAUUAUAUAAUGUCCAAAGGUUUGUAAUAACAGUAUAAGACACACGUUUUUUUUUUAUUGUGAUGUUUCUUUUUUUCCGUUUUGAAUUGUAUGUUCAUAAAGGCUGUUUUUUAACAUAUUUUAUAGCUUUAUUUUUACAAUUAUAAUGUUGGCUGAUCCGUUUUGAUCACGUGACCGUCCAUGGUACAACAUAGAAACCUAUUCCAAAUUGACGUCGCGUCGUCAAUAACAACGUUCGAACAUUUUUAAGCCUGAAUUUGCAAAAGAGCAGGUAAAUGAGUAUUGUCAAUGAAUCAAUGUAAAGAAAUGGAGAAAAUGAUUUUAUUAAAUACAAUGAUGGUAUAAAAUAUUGAAUGUUGAAAAAUGAUGCUUUGCUUUAUUUCAAAUGUGUAUUUAUCAGUAUGCAACGUAAUAAAACAUUUGGUUGUACGGUUAGCGCGCUCGCUUCUCACCAAUGUGAGUCAGGUUUGAUUCCAGACAUGGGCGCAUUUGUGUUUGGUCAGUGGUCACAAAGCCGGACAAGUGAGUAUUCUCGGGUACUCCGGUUUCCCCCACAACACAAGACCACACUCUUAGUGACUUAGUAUAAGUUCGCAUAACUUUGUUUACAAUCGUUGUAAAAUAUAUAAUGUUUAAACUAAGACAUUUCUUAUCAACUGAUCUGACUAUUAACGAAAUGGAGUAAACAUACGGUACUUGUAUGAGAGUAAUCUUAACAAUUAUAUCUACUAAAAUCUGUCAAAAUAAAUUUCAAACAAAACGGUGAACAGCCUAUAUUCUUUGCAGCCCAGAUACGAGUGGCUGGCAUGUACUGAGGGUGGAGAUGCAUCAUUUAAAUCCGUACAUGUUUUUGCUUCUUUUGAACAUUGAUAUAGUUAAAUUAAUAAAAAUAUUGUAAUAACGAUUCUUUUAACUUGUCGAUAUGCUAACGCUUUCAAUAUGUCAUGUAUUCUCAUUCUUACAGUUAUAUGAUGUUAUGCCAUCUGUUUCGUUGCUCCAGAAAAAUGUUAUGUCUACUUUCACCAUUCGUUGCAUUUUUGCUUUUUGAAAAUUGUAGUAUGUUUCACCCAAUAAAUUUAUCCUAGCG